rnacentral:rRNA from 1 species
CAAUAAGCGGAGGAAAAGAAACUAACAAGGAUUCCCCUAGUAACUGCGAGUGAAGCGGGAAAAGCUCAAAUUUAAAAUCUGACAGUCUUUGGCUGUCCGAGUUGUAAUCUGGAGAAGCGUCUUCCGCGCUGGACCGUGUACAAGUCUCCUGGAACGGAGCGUCACAGAGGGUGAGAAUCCCGUCUUUGACACGGACUACCAGUGCUUUGUGAUGCGCUCUCAAAGAGUCGAGUUGUUUGGGAAUGCAGCUCAAAAUGGGUGGUAAACUCCAUCUAAAGCUAAAUAUUGGCGAGAGACCGAUAGCGAACAAGUACCGUGAGGGAAAGAUGAAAAGCACUUUGGAAAGAGAGUUAAACAGUACGUGAAAUUGCUGAAAGGGAAACGCUUGAAGUCAGUCGCGUUUGCUAGGACUCAGCCUUGCCUCGGCUUGGUGCACUUCCUAGUAAACGGGCCAGCAUCACUUUUGGCUGCGGGAAAAAGGUCAGAGGAAUGUGGCACCUUCGGGUGUGUUAUAGCCUCUGGCUGUAUACCGUGGCUGGGAGUGAGGAUCUCAGCACGCCUCACGGCGGGGCUUCGGCCACCUUCGUGCUUAGGAUGCUGGCGUAAUGGCUUUAAACGACCCGUCUUGAAACACGGACCAAGGAGUCUAACAUGCCUGCGAGUGUUUGGGUGGAAAACCCGAGCGCGUAAUGAAAGUGAAAGUUGGGACCUCUGUCGUGGAGGGCACCGACGCCCGGACCAGAACUUCGGGGACGGAUCUGCGGUAGAGCAUGUAUGUUGGGACCCGAAAGAUGGUGAACUAUGCCUGAAUAGGGUGAAGCCAGAGGAAACUCUGGUGGAGGCUCGUAGCGAUUCUGACGUGCAAAUCGAUCGUCAAAUUUGGGUAUAGGGGCGAAAGACUAAUCGAACCAUCUAGUAGCUGGUCUGC